rnacentral:rRNA from 1 species
UACGUAGGGGCAAGCGUUGGUCCGGAAUCAUUGGGCGUAAAGAGCUCGUAGGCGGCUCAGUAAGUCGGGUGUGAAACCUCCAGGCUCAACCUGGAGACGCCACCUGAUACUGCUGUGGCUAGAGUCCGGUAGGGGAGCGUGGAAUUCCUGGUGUAGCGGUGAAAUGCGCAGAUAUCAGGAGGAACACCAGCGGCGAAGGCGGCGCUCUGGGCCGGAACUGACGCUGAGGAGCGAAAGCGUGGGUAGCAAACAGG